AGUGAACGCUGGCGGUAGGCCUAACACAUGCAAGUCGAACGGCAGCACAGUAAGAGCUUGCUCUUACGGGUGGCGAGUGGCGGACGGGUGAGGAAUACAUCGGAAUCUACUUUUUCGUGGGGGAUAACGUAGGGAAACUUACGCUAAUACCGCAUACGACCUACGGGUGAAAGCAGGGGAUCUUCGGACCUUGCGCGAUUGAAUGAGCCGAUGUCGGAUUAGCUAGUUGGCGGGGUAAAGGCCCACCAAGGCGACGAUCCGUAGCUGGUCUGAGAGGAUGAUCAGCCAACCUGGAACUGAGAACGGGUCCAGCCCCCUACGGGAGGCAGAGGUGGGGAAUUUUGGAAAAGGGGCGGAAGCCUGAUCCAGCCAUACCGGGGGGGUGAAGAAGGCCUUCGGGUUGUAAAGCCCUUUUGGUGGGAAAAAAAAGCAGCAGGUUAAAACCCCGCUGUUCUGACGGUACCAAAAGAAAAAGCACCGGCUAACUUCGG
rnacentral:rRNA from 1 species